UACGGAGGGUGCAAGCGUUAAUCGGAAUUACUGGGCGUAAAGCGUGCGCAGGCGGUUUGUUAAGUCUGCUGUGAAAUCCCCGAGCUCAACUUGGGAAUUGCAGUGGAUACUGGCAAGCUGGAGUACGGUAGAGGAAGGUGGAAUUCCCGGUGUAGCAGUGAAAUGCGUAGAGAUCGGGAGGAACACCAGUGGCGAAGGCGGGUCUCUGGACAGUUCCUGACACUGAGGCACGAAGGCCAGGGGAGCAAACGGG
rnacentral:rRNA from 1 species